AGGUUUUAGCGCUGGAGCGCCGGUGUCGUACGGUAGCCAAUACGCGCAGCCCGAGCAACGCCGCGGGUUGGGCACUGGCGCAGCCGUGGGCCUGGGCGUUGGCGCGCUAGCCGCCGGCGGGCUGGCGGGCUACGCCAUGGCUGGCGGGUUCAGCAGCGACAGUCCCACCGAGGAGGUACGCAUUGCCGACAGCAGUACAGACUUCGGAAGCGACGAAUGGAUGGAAUGAGCUAAGCUACAAUAGAUAGCAUUAACUUACUGCUACAUAUAUAUAACACAAGUGCCGGAUUAACCACG